rnacentral:rRNA from 1 species
UACGUAGGGGGCAAGCGUUGUCCGGAUUUACUGGGCGUAAAGCGCGUGUAGGCGGCCAGGCAGGUCCGUUGUGAAAACUGGAGGCUCAACUUCCAGACGUCGAUGGAAACCGCCCGGCUAGAGUCCGGAAGAGGAGAGUGGAAUUCCUGGUGUAGCGGUGAAAUGCGCAGAUAUCAGGAAGAACACCAAUGGCGAAGGCAGCUCUCUGGGACGGUACUGACGCUGAGACGCGAAAGCGUGGGGAGCGAACAGG